rnacentral:rRNA from 1 species
GACGAACGCUGGCGGCGUGCUUAACACAUGCAAGUCGAACGGAAAGGCCCUGCUUUUGUGGGGUGCUCGAGUGGCGAACGGGUGAGUAACACGUGAGUAACCUGCCCUUGACUUUGGGAUAACUUCAGGAAACUGGGGCUCAUACCGGAUAGGAGCUCCUGCUGCAUGGUGGGGGUUGGAAAGUUUCGGCGGUUGGGGAUGGACUCGCGGCUUAUCAGCUGGUUGGUGGGGUAGGGGCUUACCAAGGCUUUGACGGGUAGCCGGCCUGAGAGGGUGACCGGCCACAUUGGGACUGAGAUACGGCCCAGACGCCUACGGGAGGCAGCAGUGGGGAAUAUUACACAAUGGGCGGAAGCCUGAUGCAGCAACGCCGCGUGCGGGAUGACGGCCUUCGGGUUGUAAACCGCUUUCGCCUGUGACGAAGCGUGAGUGACGGUAAUGGGUAAAGAAGCACCGGCUAACUACGUG